rnacentral:rRNA from 1 species
GCGACACGUGGAGCUGACGGAUACUAAUCGAUCGAGGCCUUCUCUUCAAUUGAUUUUUGUUUCAACCGUGUGUGUCGGUAUCUAGUUUUGAAGGAUGAUCCUAUUGCUUUUCUACAAGAAAAGCGAUAUAAUUCUUCUUGUCAAUUGAAUAACGUGUCUGGUGACGAUAGCGAAGAGGUCACACCCGUUCCCAUGCCGAACACGGAAGUUAAGCUCUUCAGCGCCGAUGGUAGUUGGGUUUCCCUGUGAGAGUAGGACGUUGCCGGGC